AAUAUACUUCCUCUGUCCAACAAAUCAUGUCUCAAGUUUGACUAAAUUUGAAUGCAUCUACAUACUAAGUCAUGUCUAAAUACAUUCAAAUUUUGACAAACUUGAGACAUUUUUUGUUGGACCGAGGGAGCAACCG
rfam:Brachypodium distachyon strain Bd21 chromosome 1, whole genome shotgun sequence.